GAUGAACGCUGGCGGCGUGCCUAAUACAUGCAAGUCGAGCGAACGGACGAGAAGCUUGCUUCUCUGAUGUUAGCGGCGGACGGGUGAGUAACACGUGGAUAACCUACCUAUAAGACUGGGAUAACUUCGGGAAACCGGAGCUAAUACCGGAUGAUAUUUUGAACCGCAUGGUUCAAAAGUGAAAGACGGUCUUGCUGUCACUUAUAGAUGGAUCCGCGCUGCAUUAGCUAGUUGGUAAGGUAACGGCUUACCAAGGCAACGAUGCAUAGCCGACCUGAGAGGGUGAUCGGACACACUGGAACUGAGACACGGUCCAGACUCCUACGGGAGGCAGCAGUAGGGAAUCUUCCGCAAUGGGCGAAAGCCUGACGGAGAAACGCCGCGUGAGUGAUGAAGGUAUUCGGAUCGUAAAACUCUGUUAUUAGGGAAGAACAUAUGUGUAAGUAACUGUGCACAUCUUGACGGUACCUAAUCAGAAAGCCACGGCUAACUACGUG
rnacentral:rRNA from 1 species